rnacentral:sRNA from 1 species
CUAUAAGUAAAUAAUUAGUUUUAAAAUUGUUUUGUAUUUUCUUAUUCCUGUUCCCUUUACCCUUUGACAACUUGAAAUGUUACCACUUCGUCCUCAUGAUGUUCUUCUAUCAACCCUGCUUAGGAUGAGAACAAGUUGAGCAGUGCCAACGGCCAUGAAGAACGUAGCAAAAAGAGGAAAAAAAGCAAGAGCAGAAGUCGUAGUCAUGAACGAAAGAGAAGCAAAAGUAAGGAACGGAAACGAAGUAGAGAUAGAGAAAGGAAAAAGAGCAAAAGCCGUGAAAGAAAACGAAGUAGAAGCAAAGAGAGGCGACGGAGCCGCUCAAGAAGUCGAGAUCGAAGAUUUAGAGGCCGCUACAGAAGUCCUUAGUAUGUAACCAUAGUUAUGAUUUUGGUUUGAGGGUUAUUCUCUGGGUAUUCAGAUAGCAGUUUAACUUGAGUGAUUUGAAUUGUGAAAUUUUAUUUUUUUAAUGAUUGGUUAAAAAGUAUUGAAUUAAGGAUAUUGGCAUUGACUACUAGUGAAGUGAAAAUACAGUGCAUAGGCAAAUAAGUAAAAAUUUGCUUUUACUAGGCAUACUAAUUAUUUUCUGUUAAACUAUCAAAGUUUCUAAAUUGUAUGCCAGUCAAUGCAAACUGGAUGAAAGCACUAGAGUGCUUGAAAAAGAUGACAUUGUAGUAGUGCCCAAAUACCUAAGAAAGCUUAACAAGUGUCUGGGCUGUUACAGUAUUUGCUAAAUACAUAUUUACUUAAAAUUGUAAAGUUCUGAUGAAUACUAAGUUACAUAUGUAUAAUUAGUUAACAGUAAGUAAAAAGUCUUUGUCACUGUGGCUGUUCUUAGCUGAAAUGUCAGGCCAGUUGUGAAUUUGUUGUGUAUGCUCCUUGAUAAAGAUCCUUUUUUGGGCUCAUCUGUUUUUAAGGUUUGUUAAUAAUAGUAAAAGGUAUUCCAAACUAAAA